GGUCGUUCGUUGGAGGAACUUCAUCUUGUUCUGCUCUGCGAUUGCGGUGCUUGUUCGAGCGCUUACAGCGGCGCGUCGGUCCCAGCAAGGGCCUCAGACUUCGGCUUUGGGUGAGAGAAGAUGGCCCGAACCAAGCAGACCGCUAGGAAGUCCACCGGAGGGAAAGCCCCCCCGCAAACAGCUGGCCACCAAGGCGGCCCGGAAAAGCGCGCCCUCUACUGGCGGGGUGAAGAAACCUCAUCGCUACAGGCCCAGGACCGUGGCUCUAAGAGAGAUCCGUUGUUACCAGAAAUCGACUGAGCUGCUCAUUCGGAAGCUACCCUUCCAGAGGUUGGUGAGGGAGAUCGCCCAGGAUUUCAAAACCGACUUGAGGUUUCAAAGUGCAGCCAUCGGUGCCCUUCAGGAGGCUAGCGAGGCAUACCUGGUGGGGUUGUUUGAAGAUAUCAAUCUGUGUGCCAUCCACGCCAAGAGAGUCACCAUCAUGCCCAAAGACAUCCAGUUGGCUGCCGGAUAUGGGGAGAGAGCUUAAGUUGAAGCGAUUUUUAUGGCAUUUUGUAGUAAAUUCUGUAAAAUA